rnacentral:rRNA from 1 species
UACGAAGGGGGCAAGCGUUGUUCGGAAUUACUGGGCGUAAAGGGCGCGUAGGCGGCCGAUCAAGUCAGGCGUGAAAUUCCCGGGCUCAACCUGGGGGCUGCGCUUGAUACUGAUUGGCUUGAAUGCGGGAGAGGAUAGUGGAAUUCCCAGUGUAGAGGUGAAAUUCGUAGAUAUUGGGAAGAACACCGGUGGCGAAGGCGGCUACCUGGCCCGUAAUUGACGCUGAGGCGCGAAAGCGUGGGGAGCAAACAGG